rfam:Myotis lucifugus cont2.7895, whole genome shotgun sequence.
GAGACACCCCUGUGGAGCAAGACUUGCUUCAGUGUGGCUUUGGUGCUCACUGGGUCUUCCCCUUGAAUGUGGCACU